rnacentral:rRNA from 1 species
UGAGCUUGAUCCUGGCUCAGGAUGAACGCUAGCGGCAGGCUUAACACAUGCAAGUCGAGGGGUAGAGUUCUUCGGAACUUGAGACCGGCGCACGGGUGCGUAACGCGUAUGCAAUCUACCUUUUACAGAGGGAUAGCCCAGAGAAAUUUGGAUUAAUACCUCAUAGUAUAUAGACCUGGCAUCAGGAUUAUAUUAAAGUCACAACGGUAAAAGAUGAGCAUGCGUCCCAUUAGCUAGUUGGUAAGGUAACGGCUUACCAAGGCUACGAUGGGUAGGGGUCCUGAGAGGGAGAUCCCCCACACUGGUACUGAGACACGGACCAGACUCCUACGGGAGGCAGCAGUGAGGAAUAUUGGACAAUGGGCGCAAGCCUGAUCCAGCCAUGCCGCGUGCAGGAUGACGGUCCUAUGGAUUGUAAACUGCUUUUAUACGAGAAGAAACACUGAUUCGUGAAUCAGCUGACGGUAUCGUAG